AUCACAAAGGAAACCCCUGUGAGCCUGGGAAGUGGGUGCGCAGGCGGAGAAACAGAAACGGCCACUCCAGGCUCAACCUAUCCAUCCCGGCCUCUUCCUAAGACCAAGGCGCUGCUGACUCAACCCUGCUUCCAGAAGCCUAGGGUUAACAUCUGCUCCUUCCUCCUGUUUGCAUUCAGUGAAAUCCUCUCCUCUCCCAGGAGUUUCCACAUAAAACCUGCCUCUUUGUUUAUUAAGAAUUGUUUACAGAACUCUCAAGCAGCAAAGGCAAAGUACAGAAGAUAAAUAAGAGCAAGCUGGCCGGUGCGUGCGACUGGAUGGACAACAUCUUUACCCACAUGUCUGCAUCAGCUCUGCGUUGUUCACCGACAAAUCCCGUGUCUGGAAGAGUCCUGGCAGGCUGCACGGGCUGGAGAGAGAGCGAGCUGGUGGAAAUGCAGUCAGCAGAAAACUGUCUCCAUGAGAUAAAUGCUCCUGCCCAAAGCCCACUCUAGCAAUGCUUCCUCCCUGAACCACAACUCUGAACAGGCUGCCACUCACUGCAACUCCUUGCACAUGACAGACUUGCUGGGAAGAGCAGUUGCUUACAUCAACGUUUCAAAACCCAGAAAUAAGAAAAUUAUUGUUCGAGGUCAAUAACCAUGUUUAUAACAACUUCCAACUUAAAAUGGAAGAGGAAUCCCUUGGAGAACACACAUUUCCUUAUGGAAGUUUCCUCAAAAUUUCUAAUAGGAAUUUCAACUAAGUUAAAGUACUAAUUUAAGUAGGACAAGACAGAAUUCUCUUCCUUCCCAGACACUAUUACAAGCCAAACCACGUUUCACAGGAACACGUCCUGCCUGCUAAGGUGUCCCCUAGGACAAAGCUGCUUGCCAGCUGACCAUCACUUGUAUUGCAUACUUUAAAAAGUGUGGCUAACAGAAAGGAGGCAAGACAGAUGUUAUUUAAAUAAAAGCACAAAGCAUCUGUUCAAGCACGAAAAAACAUAUGGGAAAAUACAAGCACAGGACACUCAGGACAAUGUGAUGUGCUGAAGACACAGCGGCAAACAAAAGAGACCGGAUGCCACUGACCUGUCCAAGAAGAAGAACAGGAAGUAUUACAUGAAGGAGAACAGGAAGUAAAACAUGACUGGAGACAGAACUUGUGAAUUCGAGGCAGGACUCUGGAGCCAGCCUGCCCAGGGUCCAGUGCUGGCGUCCACUCCCAACUUCUAACUUCCCUGGGCAAGUGGCCCAACUUCCUUGUGCCUCAACUGACUUAUCUCUGCCACAAGGGGCAGAGGAGCACCCGCACCUCGGGAGUUCCCAAGACUGUCUGAGUGGACCUACAUGGAGCACACAGAAGAGCACCCGGCAGGUAGUACAUGUUUCACAAUAAUCCUUCCACAAUGCAAAUGACAUACACUCUAAACUCAUCAUGGGGGAGUGCUUCACAACACCCCCUGGCACACCACAGCCAACACAACCACAGCCAACACAACGACAGCCGCGCCACAACCAAGAGAGCCUGAAGAGCUGCUCUCAGUCACUGCCCAGCAAGUGUGGGCAGCUGUAGCUUACAGACCAAGGCCACAGACCACAACUUCUGCAGGCUUGCCUGGGACACAGGGGCAGAUAAGGAGAGCACCUGAGGCCUACGCUGAGUCCCACAGCAAGGAUCCGACCCACAUGGGCACAGAAGACUUCUACUGCAGGUUGCAAAUCUUACAUCCUUGACCUAGUGGGUAAAAAAACCCUAAGAAAAGGCAACUUUCUAAAACAAUCAUACUACACUCAUAUAAGCAAUUAAUUUUUAAUAAGCACUGCUCAUAUAUU
rnacentral:lncRNA from 10 species